UACGUAGGGUCCGAGCGUUGUCCGGAAUUACUGGGCGUAAAGAGCUCGUAGGUGGUUUGUCGCGUUGUUCGUGAAAACUCACAGCUCAACUGUGGGCGUGCGGGCGAUACGGGCAGACUAGAGUACUGCAGGGGAGACUGGAAUUCCUGGUGUAGCGGUGGAAUGCGCAGAUAUCAGGAGGAACACCGGUGGCGAAGGCGGGUCUCUGGGCAUGUCCUGACGCUGAGGAGCGAAAGCGUGGGGAGCGAACAGG
rnacentral:rRNA from 1 species